rfam:Hordeum vulgare subsp. vulgare, WGS project CAJW01000000 data, contig: morex_contig_40366
AGUCUACUCCCUCCGUCCUAAAAUUAAUGUCUCAGGUUUGUUUAGAAAUGAAUGUAUCUAAAUACUAAAAUAUGACUAGAUACAAUCAUAUCUAAACAAAUGUAAGACAAGAAUUUUGAGACGGUGGGAGUAUGUU